CCUACGGGAGGCAGCAGUGGGGGAUAUUGCACAAUGGGGGAACGCUGAUGCAGCGACGCCGCGUGGGUGAAGAAGCGCCCCGCCGCGUAAAGCCCUGUCAGCAGGGAAGAAAAUGACGGUACCUGAAGAAGAAGCCCCGGCUAACUACGUGCCAGCAGCCGCGGUAAUACGUAGGGGGCAAGCGUUAUCCGGGUUUACUGGGUGUAAAGGGGGCGAAGACGGGGAGGCAAGGCAGGAGUGAGAGCCCGGGGCCCAACCCCGGGACUGGUCUUGGAACUGCGUGGCUGGAGUGCAGUGAGGGCAGGCGGAAGUCCUGGUGUAGCGGUGAAAUGCGUAGAUAUCAGGAGGAACACCGGUGGCGAAGGCGGCCUGCUAGACUGCAACUGACGUUGAGGCCCGAAAGCGUGGGGAGCAAACAGGAUUAGAUACCCCAGUAGUC
rnacentral:rRNA from 1 species